rnacentral:lncRNA from 1 species
UAUAUAUAUAUAUAUAUAUAUAUAUAUAUAUAUAUAUAUAUAUAUAUAUCUUAUAUGAGGUUCCCAAUCAGUCACUGAAAUAGUAGAUAAGUAUUAUUUGACUUUUAUGAAUAGUAAAUGAAGCCAAAGAGGUCACAGAGCCACAAAAUGACUGAGCAGAUAGAUCUUUUUAUGCCAAGAUGAAUGUUCGUUCCACUGUGCUUUGGGAUUACAACAGAGAGUAAAAAUUCCUCUCUAAAGGUUGUCACUUUAUAAGAAAGAAAUUACAAUGGGCCUCUCUAAGGAAACCAGGCCACAUCUGAAUUUUGCAGAGUAGCAAACUUUUUAUUAAGAUUGUUGGAGGGUCUGGGGUUGUGACUCAGUGGUAGAGCACUCACCUAGCAUGCGUGAGGCACUGGGUUUGAUCCUCAGCACCACAUAAAAAUAAAAUAAAGGUAUUAUGUCCACCUACAACUAAAAUAUAUAUAUUUUAAAAGGUGGUUGGAGACUCUUCUUUGGAGGGUUUCAUUUUCCAUUGUUUCAUGUUACAUCAAGUUAUCUAGUUCCAAAAAUGUAGCAAUCUUAUAAAUUUAGUUUGCUGCAUCAGAUGGUCUGAUCAGAGGCAGCCAAUAUUGAAUACUCCUUUCCACUUCAUUACAGGAUGAACAAUGAGUUCCCCUGCAAAGUUGUUCUGUCACUUAGCUAUCAAUAUCUGAUUCUUCCUCUGCUGACAAAUGGUUUAUCUUAAGUGUCUUACUUGAAUUAGACAUGUAUAUUCUGCCUUUUGCUUCAGUUCAUUGACAAUAUAUUUGGAUAAAUGGUCAAACUCUUCAUUGACUAUGUCUUGGUGUGUUGUUUUCAAAUCAAGUGGUUUCCAAAAAUAUGUUUCUGGUGUGCAGACAUAUACAAUGUGACCUCACCAAAAAAAGAUCUAAUAAAGAUAUGUAAGGAACGACAUUAUGCUUUUCCUGUU